AUAGCUCAGUCGGUAGAGCAGAGGACUGAAAAUCCUCGUGUCCCUGGUUCGAUUCCU
rnacentral:tRNA from 1 species